CCUACGGGAGGCAGCAGUGAGGAAUAUUGGUCAAUGGGCGCAAGCCUGAACCAGCCAAGUCGCGUGAGGGAUGACGGUCCUAUGGAUUGUAAACCUCUUUUGUCGGGGAGCAAGGCCCGCCACGUGUGGCGGGAAGGAGAGUACCCGAAGAAAAAGCAUCGGCUAACUCCGUGCCAGCAGCCGCGGUAAUACGGAGGAUGCGAGCGUUAUCCGGAUUUAUUUGGUUUAAAGGGUGCGUAGGCGGAAGGUUAAGUCAGCGGUCAAAUGUCGGUGCUCAACACCGGCCUGCCGUUGAAACUGGUCUGCUUGAGUGAGCGAGAAGUAUGCGGAAUGCGUGGUGUAUCGGUGAAAUGCAGAGAUAUCACGCAGAACUCCGAUUGCGAAGGCAGCAUACCGGCGCUCAACGGACGCUGAGGCACGAAAGCGUGGGGAUCGAACAGGAUUAGAUACCCUUGUAGUC
rnacentral:rRNA from 1 species